UACGGGGGGGGCAAGCGUUGUUCGGAAUUACUGGGCGUAAAGGGCGCGUAGGCGGCCUGCUAAGUCGGACGUGAAAUCCCUCGGCUCAACCGAGGAACUGCGUCCGAUACUGGUGGGCUUGAAUCCGGGAGAGGGAUGUGGAAUUCCCGGUGUAGUGGUGAAAUGCGUAGAUAUCGGGAGGAACACCAGUGGCGAAGGCGACUUCCUGGCCUGUUCUUGACGCUGAGGCGCGAAAGCUAGGGGAGCAAACGGG
rnacentral:rRNA from 1 species